rnacentral:rRNA from 1 species
GGCGAACCGUGCGAACGUUGUUCGGAUUCACUGGGCUUAAAGGGCGCGUAGGUGGCGGCUUAAGCGUGCGGUGAAAGCUCGGGGCUCAACCCCGAGUCGGCCGUGCGAACUGAGUCGCUUGAGCACUGUAGAGGCAGGCGGAAUUCCGGGUGGAGCGGUGAAAUGCGUAGAGAUCCGGAGGAACACCGACGGCGUAAGCAGCGCCCUGGACGACACCUGACGCUGAGGCACGAAAGCUGGGGGAGCGAACAGG